rnacentral:rRNA from 1 species
GACGAACGCUGGCGGCGUGCUUAACACAUGCGAGUCGAACGGAAAGGCCCUGCUUUUGUGGGGUGCUCGAGUGGCGAACGGGUGAGUAACACGUGAGUAACCUGCCCUUGACUUUGGGAUAACUUCAGGAAACUGGGGCUAAUACCGGAUAGGAGCUCCUGCUGCAUGGUGGGGGUUGGAAAGUUUCGGCGGUUGGGGAUGGACUCGCGGCUUAUCAGCUUGUUGGUGGGGUAGUGGCUUACCAAGGCUUUGACGGGUAGCCGGCCUGAGAGGGUGACCGGCACCAUUGGGACUGGGAUAGGCCCCGGACUCCAACGGGAGGCAGAGGUGGGGAAUAUUGCACAAUGGGCGGAAGCCUGAUGCAGCAACGCCGCGUGCGGGAUGACGGCCUUCGGGUUGUAAACCGCUUUCGCCUGUGACGAAGCGUGAGUGACGGUAAUGGGUAAAGAAGCGCCGGCUAACUACGUG